CAAGUCCCCCAGCUCAGCCGGCUCGGCGCUCAGAACGCGGUAAAUGGUGUACACGUCGGGUUGCGAUACGACGGCCCAUACGACAUCCCCGAGUCUGCGAAGCCGGGCUCGAGCCGGACCGGACACGUCCACGCCCGCCAGCGUAUCGGAUAAGCGGUCCGCCGCACGCGCCACGAGGGCACGCGCAAGGUCGAUUUUAGCUGGAAAGUAGACGUACACCGUUCCCUUCGAUACACCCGCCCGCCGGGCUACCUCAUCCAUCCGGCACCGGGCAUACCCCCGAUCCGCCAGCAACUCAAACGCUGCGUCCAGAAUCUCUCCUGGCCGAUCUUCUGCCCGCCGCUGCCAGCGCGGGGAGCGUGAAACAUCGACAGAAUCAGCACGACCAGACCUCCCGGGC
rnacentral:misc_RNA from 1 species